rnacentral:rRNA from 1 species
UACGUAGGGUGCGAGCGUUGUCCGGAAUUAUUGGGCGUAAAGGGUGCGUAGGCGGUUUGGUAAGUCUUAUGUGAAAUCUACAGGCUCAACUUGUAGUCUGCAUGAGAAACUGCCGGGCUUGAGUAUGGGAGAGGUGAGUGGAAUUCCUGGUGUAGCGGUGAAAUGCGUAGAUAUUGGGAGGAACACCAGUGGCGAAGGCGGCUCACUGGACCGGUAUUGACGCUGAGGUGCGAAAGCGUGGGGAGCAAACAGG